AUCUAAUCUCUCGUUAUCUUUCUCUUUCCUCUCCACUCUUUUCUUCUACGACAUUCAUUCUCUACGCUUCUUCAUCUUCUUCUUUCUUUUCUCUCAUCUCUUUGGUUCAUUUUUAUCUCUGCACAUCUCCUCUUUCAAUUUCAUCUCCUCUUCACCACCAUACCGUCGGCCUUCACGUUUGUCACCACCGCCCUCUUUUGAUUCCAUCGUGUCUUCGCCCCCAUCACCACCGUCACGCUCUCACCAGCACCAUGUCACCUCUCUCUCUCUCUGUUUCUAUCCAGAAGAUGAUGAAACAGAAAGAAUAAUUGGUGGUGUUACACAGCGGCAUCUCCGGUUAAGCGUGGUGUGGCAGUGGUACAAAAGCCGGUGGUUUGUUGGUGGUUCGUGGAUGGUGGCUGAAGUUUUCUGAAGGUGGCGAUGGUGGCUAAAGCUUUGUGAAGAUGGAGGAUGGUGGCUGAAGCGUAGAUUUAGGUUUAGUUAACUGGUUUAAUUAGGUUAACAUUAAUUAGUUGGUUUAGUUAGGGUUAGAGUAAUAAUUUAUGUAUUAUUGGUUUAGUGUUGUAAACCAAAAUUUAUUGUAAACCGAAUUUAAUUUAUAAAAUAAAAUUUAUAUGUAAAUAUACAAAAUAUGUUUUCAAUUGA